rnacentral:lncRNA from 1 species
AUGUCUCUUUUGGAUUGCUUCUGCACUUCAAGAACACAAGAUGAAUCACUCAGACCUGAAAAACAGUCUGAAACCAGUAUCCAUCAAUACUUGGUUGAUGAGCCAACCCUUUCCUGGUCACCUCCAUCCACUAGAGCCAGUGAAGUACUAUGUUCCACCAACGUUUCUCACUACGAGCUCCAAGUAGAAACAGGAAGAGGAUUUGACAACUUGACUUCUGUCCAUCUUGCAUGGCAUACUCCCACGGGAACACUGGUAACUAUAAAAAUUACAAAUCUGGAAAACUGCAAUGAAGAACGCCUGAAAGCUUUACAGAAAGCCGUGAUUCUAUCCCACUUUUUCCGGCAUCCCAAUAUUACAACUUACUGGACAGUUUUCACUGUUGGCAGCUGGCUUUGGGUUAUUUCUCCAUUUAUGGCCUAUGGUUCAGCAAGUCAACUCUUGAGGACCUGUUUUCCUGAAGGAAUGAGUGAAACUUUAAUAAGAAACAUUAUCUUUGGAGCUGUGAGAGGGUUGAACUAUCUGUACCAAAAUGGCUGUAUUCACAGGAGUAUUAAAGCCAGCCAUAUCCUCAUUUCUGGUGAUGGCCUAGUGACCCUCUCUGGCCUGUCCCAUCUGCAUAGUUUGGUUAAGCAUGGACAGAGGCAUAGGGCUGUGUAUGAUUUCCCACAGUUCAGCACAUCAGUGCAGCCGUGGCUGAGUCCAGAACUACUGAGACAGGAUUUACAUGGGUAUAAUGUGAAGUCAGAUAUUUACAGUGUUGGGAUUACAGCAUGUGAAUUAGCCAGUGGGCAGGUGCCUUUCCAGGACAUGCAUAGAACUCAGAUGCUGUUACAGAAACUGAAAGGUCCUCCUUAUAGCCCAUUGGAUAUCAGUAUUUUCCCUCAAUCAGAAUCCAGAAUGAAAAAUUCCCGGUCAGGUGUAGACUCUGGAAUUGGAGAAAGUGUGCUUGUCUCCAGUGGAACUCACACAGUAAAUAGUGACCGAUUACACACACCAUCCUCAAAAACUUUCUCUCCUGCCUUCUUUAGCUUGGUACAGCUCUGUUUGCAACAAGAUCCUGAGAAAAGGCCAUCAGCAAGCAGUUUAUUGUCCCAUGUUUUCUUCAAACAGAUGAAAGAAGAAAGCCAGGAUUCAAUACUUUCACGGUUGCCUCCUGCUUAUAACAAGCCAUCAAUACCAUUGCCUCCAGUGUUACCUUGGACUGAGCCAGAAUGUGAUUUUCCUGAUGAAAAAGACUCAUACUUGGAAUUCUAG